CCCUUAGAUGUUCUGGGCUGCACGCGCGCUACACUGACGUACGCAACAGGUGCCUGCUCCGAGAGGACUGGGUAAUCAUUUGAGUGUGCGUCGUGAUGGGGAUAGAAUAUUGUAAUUAUUACUCUUCAACGAGGAAUUCCUAGUAAGCGCAAGUCAGCAGCUUGCGCUGAUUACGUCCCUGCCCUUUGUACACACCGCCCGUCGCUCCUACCGAUGGGUGAUCCGGUGAAUGAUUCGGACUUCAGCGGCUCCUCUGGGGUGCGCCGGAGAAAGUUUUGUGAACCUUAUCACUUGGAGGAAGGAGAAGUCGUAACA
rnacentral:rRNA from 1 species